UCUGAUUGUACAAGCCUAUUA
rnacentral:siRNA from 1 species